CAAGUCGAGGGGCAGCAUAAUUAUUGCUUGCAAUAAUUGAUGGCGACCGGCGCACGGGUGAGUAUCGCGUAUCCAACUUUCCCAUAACUAGGGGAUAAUCCGUCGAAAGGCGGUCUAAUACUCUAUGUUGUCUAUUUAUGGCCUCAUAUUUAGACGAAAGAUUUAUCGGUUAUGGUUAGGGAUGCGUCCGAUUAGGUAGUAGGCGGGGUAAUAGCCCACCUAGCCUACGAUCGGUAGGGGUUCUGCGAGGAAGGUCCCCCACAUUGGAACUGAGACACGGUCCAAACUCCUACGGGAGGCAGCAGUGAGGAAUAUUGGUCAAUGGACGCGAGUCUGAACCAGCCAAGUAGCGUGCAGGAUGACGGCCCUAUGGGUUGUAAACUGCUUUUAUGCGGGAAUAAAGUGAUUUACGUGUAUAUCAUUGCAUGUACCGCAUGAAUAAGGACCGGCUAAUUCCGUGCCAGCAGCCGCGGUAAUACGGAAGGUUCGGGCGUUAUCCGGAUUUAUUGGGUUUAAAGGGAGCGUAGGCUGAAUAUUAAGCGUGUUGUGAAAUGUAGUUGCUCAACAUCUGCACUGCAGCGCGAACUGGUAUUCUUGAGUGUGCGCGACGUAGGCGGAAUUCGUGGUGUAGCGGUGAAAUGCUUAGAUAUCACGAAGAACUCCGAUUGCGAAGGCAGCUUACGAGAGCACAACUGACGCUUAAGCUCGAAGGUGCGGGUAUCGAACAGGAUUAGAUACCCUGGUAGUCCGCACAGUAAACGAUGGAUGCCCGCUAUUGGACUUUUAGUUCAGUGGCUAAGCGAAAGCGUUAAGCAUCCCACCUGGGGAGUACGCCGGCAACGGUGAAACUCAAAGGAAUUGACGGGGGCCCGCACAAGCGGAGGAACAUGUGGUUUAAUUCGAUGAUACGCGAGGAACCUUACCCGGGCUUGAACUGCCGGUGAACGAUA
rnacentral:rRNA from 1 species